rnacentral:misc_RNA from 1 species
GAUGAAGAACGUAGCGAAAUGCGAUAAGUAGUGUGAAUUGCAGAAUUCAGUGAAUCAUCGAAUCUUUGAACGCACAUUGCGCCCCUUGGUAUUCCAUGGGGCAUGCCUGUUCGAGCGUCAUUUAUACCUUCAAGCCUUGCUUGGUGUUGGGUGUUUGUCUCGCCUCUGCGCGCAGACUCGCCUCAAAACAAUUGGCAGCCGGCGUAUUGAUUUCGGAGCGCAGUACAUCUCGCGCUUUGCACUCAGAACGACGACGUCCAAAAGUACAUUUUUACACUCUUGACCUCGGAUCAGGUAGGGAUACCCGCUGAACUUAAGCAUAUCAAUAAGCGGAGGA